AGCCCGGUGGUGUAUUAACAUUUUGGAUUGCAAAUCCAAAGCAGCAGAUUAAUUUCUGCCCAGGCUU
rnacentral:tRNA from 1 species